UGAACGCUGGCGGCGGCCUACACAUGCAAGUCGAGCGGUAACAGGUGUAGCAAUACAUGCUGACGAGCGGCGAACGGGUGAGUAAUGCUUCGGAAUCUACCCUAUGGUGGGGAAUAACCAGCCGAAAGGUUGGCUAAUACCGCAUACGUCCUACGGGAGAAAGCAGGGGAUCGUAAGACCUUGCGCCGAUGGAUGAGCCGAAGUCGGAUUAGCUAGUUGGUGAGGUAACGGCUCACCAAGGCGACGAUCCGUAGCUGGUCUGAGAGGACGACCAGCCACACUGGGACUGAGACACGGCCCAGACUCCUACGGGAGGCAGCAGUGGGGAAUAUUGGACAAUGGGGGCAACCCUGAUCCAGCGACGCCGCGUGUGUGAAGAAGGCCUGCGGGUUGUAAAGCACUUUUAGUGGGGAUGAAAAGUGCAGAGCUAAUACCUCUGCAUCUUGACCUAACCCACAGAAAAAGCACCGGCUAACUCUGUGCCAGCAGCCGCGGUAAUACAGAGGGUGCGAGCGUUAAUCGGAAUUACUGGGCGUAAAGCGUGCGUAGACGGUUAUGUAAGUCGGGUGUGAAAGCCCCGGGCUCAACCUGGGAAUGGCAUUCGAGACUGCGUA
rnacentral:rRNA from 1 species